rnacentral:tRNA from 1 species
GCGCCUAUAGCUCAACGGACAGAGCAGUAGUCUUCGGAACUACCCGUGGGGGUUCGAUUCCCUCUAGGCGCA